rnacentral:lncRNA from 1 species
CCAAGCAUUAUUAACUAUGAAGCCCCAGUACUCUAUUCACUCCGCAGUGUGGCCUCUUAGGAUGCUGGCCAAGAGUCGGUGCUUAAUCAGUAUUUGUUCAUUGAUCCUAACAUUCAUGUUCUAAUUGUGUCAUUUUCUUUGGUUAUUCCUCUCUUUCAGAAUUCCUAUAUGCCAUAGGCGUCGGACACAGUCCUGGUGCCUGAAGACAGGGGGAGGAAUGUCUGUAUUCUGCUUAUUGGAAUCUCCAAAGAAAUUUGACUUUUCUGGCCAAAUAUACUUGUUAUGGAACUAUUGCAGAUGGGGUGCUGGUAAAGGAGACAUCUCCAUAUUAAAUAUUCCAUCUCCUUAUAAGAACAAAGUGCAACUCACAAGGACCAGUGAGGCAGUCAGCAAAUGGGACAGCGACAAGACACUAGUCAACAAGACAAAGGAUUAUGGUGCCUAAUAUUUGGAGGAAAAUUGUCAGCAGUCUGGUCAGACUAUGUACUGCAUGAACAUUCAGGUAGGUUUUGCCUUUACAAAAAUUAUUUUCUGAAUAUAU